rnacentral:rRNA from 1 species
CAGUCGAGCGAGCGGAACUAACAGAUUUACUUCGGUAAUGACGUUAGGAAAGCGAGCGGCGGAUGGGUGAGUAACACGUGGGGAACCUGCCCCAUAGUCUGGGAUACCACUUGGAAACAGGUGCUAAUACCGGAUAAGAAAGCAGAUCGCAUGAUCAGCUUUUAAAAGGCGGCGUAAGCUGUCGCUAUGGGAUGGCCCCGCGGUGCAUUAGCUAGUUGGUAAGGUAAAGGCUUACCAAGGCGAUGAUGCAUAGCCGAGUUGAGAGACUGAUCGGCCACAUUGGGACUGAGACACGGCCCAAACUCCUACGGGAGGCAGCAGUAGGGAAUCUUCCACAAUGGACGCAAGUCUGAUGGAGCAACGCCGCGUGAGUGAAGAAGGUUUUCGGAUCGUAAAGCUCUGUUGUUGGUGAAGAAGGAUAGAGGUAGUAACUGGCCUUUAUUUGACGGUAAUCAACCAGAAAGUCACGGCUAACUACGUGCCAGCAGCCGCGGUAAUACGUAGGUGGCAAGCGUUGUCCGGAUUUAUUGGGCGUAAAGCGAGCGCAGGCGGAAGAAUAAGUCUGAUGUGAAAGCCCUCGGCUUAACCGAGGAACUGCAUCGGAAACUGUUUUUCUUGAGUGCAGAAGAGGAGAGUGGAACUCCAUGUGUAGCGGUGGAAUGCGUAGAUAUAUGGAAGAACACCAGUGGCGAAGGCGGCUCUCUGGUCUGCAACUGACGCUGAGGCUCGAAAGCAUGGGUAGUGAACAGGAUUAGAUACCCUGGUAGUCCAUGCCGUAAACGAUGAGUGCUAAGUGUUGGGAGGUUUCCGCCUCUCAGUGCUGCAGCUAACGCAUUAAGCACUCCGCCUGGGGAG